GCGAUGCGUCCAACCAGAUUUUAGCAACGCAUUUGACAAAUGUCUGAUAGGAUCUGCCAAAAAAAAAAUCUGUCAUGGCAGCGAUUCUAAUCAGAUCCAAAAAUUCAUACAACCAAUUAUGAAGAUUUUCUCACAGGAUGAAAGAUCUCAAUCUCAAAUAGAAGCAAUAAAUGACAGGGAAGAUGCAUACUCAAAUGCAGCAAAGAAAUAACAAAUUAAAGAAAGAUACUUGCUAAAAUUGCUUUCUUUUUCAUAUCAUUUAUUUUAUUAAGUUUCUCAAUAAAUAUUUUUUAUUGUAAGCAAAUACUGGUUCUAAGUAUAUUGUGAAGGUGACUAAAAAGCAUUUUUCCUGUCCAAUAAAUUAAUGAAUUAUCCUUCAAAUUUGUUUG